rnacentral:rRNA from 1 species
GAGUUUGAUCCUGGCUCANGAUGAACGCUAGCGGCAGGCCUAACACAUGCAAGUCGAACGGUAACAGAGAAGAGCUUGCUCUUUUGCUGACGAGUGGCGCACGGGUGCGUAACGCGUAUACAAUCUACCUUUUACAGGGGUAUAGCCUUUAGAAAUGAAGAUUAACACCCCAUAGUAUCCACUUAUCUCAUGGUAUAUGGAUUAAAACUUCGGUGGUAAAAGAUGAGUAUGCGUUCUAUUAGCUAGAUGGUGUGGUAACGGCACACCAUGGCAACGAUAGAUAGGGGCCCUGAGAGGGGGAUCCCCCACACUGGUACUGAGACACGGACCAGACUCCUACGGGAGGCAGCAGUGAGGAAUAUUGGACAAUGGGCGAGAGCCUGAUCCAGCCAUGCCGCGUGCAGGAAGACUGCCCUAUGGGUUGUAAACUGCUUUUAUAUAGGAAGAAACCUUUCCACGUGUGGAAAGCUGACGGUACUAUAAGAAUAAGGAUCGGCUAACUCCGUGCCAGCAGCCGCGGUAAUACGGAGGAUCCAAGCGUUAUCCGGAAUCAUUGGGUUUAAAGGGUCCGUAGGUGGAUAAUUAAGUCAGAGGUGAAAUCCUGCAGCUCAACUGUAGAAUUGCCUUUGAAACUGGUUAUCUUGAAUUAUUGUGAAGUGGUUAGAAUAUGUAGUGUAGCGGUGAAAUGCAUAGAUAUUACAUAGAAUACCAAUUGCGAAGGCAGAUCACUAACAAUAUAUUGACACUGAUGGACGAAAGCGUG